UAUUUUUUUACUCUCUACCCACCGGCCACCCACUACUCUCUCACUGACUCUUUCAAACUCUCUCUCAAACACACUCUCUCUCUCUCUCUCUCUCUAAACAACUAAACUGUUCCUCUCAGUCUCACUCCUCAAUUCCUCUCUUCUUCACUCCUCAGUUCCUCUCAUCCUCAAUGGUUCAUUUUUUCGUUCCUCUUCAUUCACUCGUGACUUUGGAGCCGCAACUUGAGGCCUUGUGUGGAUCCGUCAUGAAUUUGAGGGUGAAUGUAGAAGGUGAUAAGAUUCCAUUGCCAAUGUCGCUACCGGUUGAGGCUCAUUGGCCAUCCUCCUCCAAUAAUAUCUAAUGUUAUGUUCUUGUUUUAAAAAACUCAAGUUUCUGUAAUUUGUGCCUUUGAGGCAACUUUAUUUGGUCUGUAAAACUUAUCUAAUACUUCGUUCCAACUUAUUAGUGUGUGCAAACUUAACUCCUAGACUUUUUAUAUUUUAACUCUUUAAGAGUUAAACUUUUGUGUAAGAUAUUCAGGUAUUUCUUAUCAGGACUUGCUGCCAUUAGAGGCUAAAUUUUAAAAUAUUAUUUUCCAAACUGUUUGUACAGGUUAGCAACACUGUAUUUGUGAUCAGAAUCCAAAAUUUAUUGUUUGGGUUGACCUGAAAACAGCAGGUUCAGGUUAGCCCAACCUGAAAACAGCAGGUUCAUGUUAACCCAACCUGAAAACAGCAGGUUCAGGUCAACCCAACCUGAAAACAACAGGUUAAACUUAGUUUUUUUUUUUUUUUUUUUGUGAUUGUUAAAUUUUUAAAAUUUUCAGGUCAAAACAGAUCAAGUUCAGGAUGACCUGAUAAUUAACAGAUCAGGUUCAGGUUUAGGUUUUCAACCCGAAUUCUUAAACAGAUCAGGUUCGGGUACGGGGGUAGUCAACUCGAAAAUAGUCAACUCGAACACGAACCCGACCCAACCUGAUCUGAUUGUCACCCUAUCUACAACAGAAAGUAUAGUUUCCUACAGGAAAAAAAACAACAACUCUGAAUUAAAGAUAAGAAAAGUAAAAAAUAAAAAAGUAACCUUAACUUCCAAAACCCCCAUCCUCAAUCUACUCUGAAAUCUCAAUAAAACCAUUCUCACAUCAACGUACUUAUCUCCUUCGAUUCCGAAAAGCAUGAAACAAUUUUUUUGUUAUUGUAAAAUUCAUUUAAAUUGCCAGUUGUUUUUCAAUGUUUUGUGUUCCAUAAUUUGUUUUAUACAGUUCAUGAUAAAGUAAAGUAUUGUUUUAUUUUAGGUAAUAGAUUGCAAUGGUGUCGCAAGAUGCAACUCUAGAUAAUGGUGGUAUUCAUGUACAAGCAGCUCUUGACUAUUCAGCUUUGUCAUACUGCAGGCAUAUGCUGAAAUCUGGAUUCCAUGUUACUGCAAUUAGACCACCAACUGUUCCUCCUAAUUCAUGCAGAUUGUGAAUAACUUU